UAUGCUGAGGGUGCAGCCCUAAAAAGAAAAAAAAGAAAUGGUUUCCCAGUUCUGGAGACUAGAAGUCCGAGAUCAAGGUACUGGCCAGUCUGCUUCCUGCUGAGACUGUGAGGGGAGGAGCCAUUCCAGGCCCCUAUCCUAGUUUCCUGUGACUUGUUAUUAAUCUCUGUUCCUUGGUUUUCAGAAGCAGCAUCUUCCUCACUGUCUUCAUCUUCACAGUCAAACAUUGACCAUGUGGUGGUAUUUAAGGUUGCAUAUGUAUAUACAGAAAACUAAGCACUUCUUGUACAUUUACUUUUAUGGCCUGAAAUGGUAUCUGCUACUCGGAGGGAAAAGGAGAUCUGGGUUAAAGUCAGGAGUCUCUCUUGCAGGCUGUGCGCACCACUGGGCAAUGACUCAGCCUUUGUGAACCUUGAGUUCCUCAUCAUUAAAAUGGGUAUGUUAAUAUUAGAUUUAACAUAUGAAACAACACUUUUGUAGGUCAAAAAUUGUUGAGUAUCAGCUAUUUCAUAUGAUUCAACUUAAUACCUACUUCACAGAUAUAGGAAAAACUAAAUAAGAUAAUAUUGUAGCACUGUCCCUGGUGUUUGGUAAAUCAUAAGUACAUGAUUUAUUAAAAUGUAUAUAAAUAAAACCCUAUGGCCUAAUGGUCGUAGUACAACCUAAGCUUAAAAUAUCUGCCCUCUCUGCCAUACAGAACAUGAAUUGCCUAUCAGGAGUCUUCUUUUUUCCCUCCUUCUUUCUUUUCUCCUUCUUUCUUCUUCUUCUCAAAAUUUAAUUUUUAUUCUCUUUCUUCUAUUUCUUUUUAAUGUUUUUUUUUUAAAUAGCUAAUAUGCUUUUAUGGUUCAAAACUCAAAAAGUGUGUAAAAGAAAACCUCUCCCAUAGCAUCACUGUCCUUUAUCUGUCCAGAGUAUUAUGUCUUAUCUAUUUUCCUGAUAUUAAGCACAUUCAAAUGUGUAUACUGUGUGAGUUCUAAAAAUAGCUUUAAAAUAUCUGUAUUUAUAUGAAUAUGAUAUAUGCAUAUUUGUAGUCUAAGACUCAGUUUAUGAAUAAAUAGCUGAGGCCCACAGAAAUGCAGCCCCUUUGCCUGGAGUCAUUCAGAAUCAGUAAGACUUGCAUAUUAAUUAUACUUAUCUGGCACUCUAUGAGACCUCACAUUACAAAUAUUCACUUUAAAUGUAAAUAAUCUUUUUUUAGGCAAAUAAAAUCUUAUUUAUUUAUUUGUUUAUUUAUUGGCAAUGGAAGUCAGGUCAAAGUGCCUCAUUAUUCAAGCUUCGUAUUUGUGAAUUCUCCUACCUGCUAAUGAUUUACUUAUCAUCCCCAAAUAGAUAUCCAUGACAUUUUCCUAGUCAUUCCCAGAUAUGAGUAGAGGGACAAAAAAAUUUGAGUUGCUGAUUGUACACGUUCCCAGGUGAGGUCAAACAAGAUGACACUUGGCCUUCUUAUUUCAGGUCUCAUGCUAUGAACAAGAGUCCUUUUUGUGAUCUAUUUAAUGCUACAUGUUUCACAUUUCUGUGCUUUUAAUGGGUGAUUUUGCUAUUUAAAAUGGCCCCUGUGAGUUCCCAUUGUGGCUCAGCAGUAACAAAUCCAAAUGGUAUCCAUGAGGACUUGGGUUCAGUCCCUGGCCCCACUCAAUGGGUUAAGGAUCAGGUAUUGAUAUAAGCUGUGGUGUAGGUAGCAGAUGCGGCUUGGAUUCCAUGUUACUGAGGCAGCUCCGACAGACCGCUAACAUGGGAACUUCCAUAUGCCGCAGGAGUGGCCCUAAAAAAACCAAAAAAAAUAAAAGCAAUUUAAAAAUGCCCCUCAAAGAUAGUGCUGAAGUGAUAUCUACCACUCCUAAGAAUAAGAGGGCUGUGAUAUGCCUUAAGGACAAAAUACAGUGUUAGAGAAGCUUCUCUCAGGCAUAAAUUAUAGUGUUGUGGGCUGUGAGUUCAAUGUUAGUCAAUGAUAUACACUGAAUAAUGUGUCUUUAGGAGUUCUCUUAUGGUGUGGUGGGUUAAGGAUCCUGCAUUGUCACUACAGUGGCUUGGGUUGCUGCUGUGGCAUGAACCCCUGGCCCGGGAACUUCCACAUGCCAUGGAUGUGAGCUUCUCCUCCCUGCCUCCAAAAGAAGAACACAUUGAAUAAUGUGUCUUUAAUCAGAAACACACAUGACACAAGAUUAUGGGUUCAGUUGAUAAAAAUUUUGUGACCUGAGGCUCAUAGGAACCUAACCCUGUAUUUCCCCUAGGAAUAGUGGUUCAGUAUUCACUAAUUCAAUGCUUGUAGCAACUUUAUAGAGUAUAACUACUACUAAUAAUGAGAAUUGAUGGUAUUUUAGAGUACAACACAUAGAAGUCAAGUUUUCCUCUCUUAGUGUCAGUCUGAUUUAAGUGUUUCUUUAAAAUUGUAGCUAUUGGAGUUCCCAUCGUGGCGCAGUGGUUAACGAAUCUGACUAGGAACCAUGAGGUUGUGGGUUUGAUCCCUGGCCUUGCUCAAUCGGUUAAGGAUCUGGCGUUGCUGUGAGCUGUGGUGUAGGUCACAGACGCAGCUCGGAUCCCAUGUUGCUGUNUCAAAAAAUAAAUAAAAAGUAAAAUGAUAGCUAUGUUACCAUAGCCCACAUUCUAUUUUUUGGCCUUUUAGGGACGUAUCUGUGUACCUGCAGCAUAUGGAGGUUCCCAGGCUAGGGGUUGAAUCGGAAGCUAUAGCCACUGACCUACUCCACAGCCAUAGCAAUGCCAGAUCCAAGCCAUGUCUGCAACCUACAGCAUAGGUCACAGCAAUGCCAGAUCCUUAACCCAGUGAGUAAGGCCAGGGAUCGAACCUGCGUCCUCAUGGAUACUAGUCAGAUUUGUUUCUGCUGAGGCAUGAUAGGAACUCCAGCUUUCUUGAGUUUAAAAAAAUAAAUCCUUUGUUGAUUGCAAAAAUGGCUCCUAAAUGCAGUUUUGGAGGGGAUGGCUUUAAAGCCAUUGUUGGUUUGAGUGGUUCAAAUAUCUUGCUAAUUUCAUAGGCUUUGAACCAAUUAUGAAGUAGAUAGUGUGGCAGUAGCUAUCAAGUUUGCAGUUUGUUUAGGAGUGUUUGUAUUUCUUUUUGGUGUUGAAGAAAUUUACAGUAAUCAUCAGUAGGGAAUUAUGAGUGCACAUCAUUGCAUUAAAACAUGGAAUUCAGCCCUACAUUGCCAUUAAUAGAAAAUGCAGUUUUUAUGUUAAUUAUAAUAAAAAGCAAGUGUUACUGAGCAAGUUUUUACUGAUUAUCCUAUGUAUUGCUAUGAUUACAGUUCCUAACAAAUAUGUUAUAUGUUAUUGAGGAAGUGGUAUAAUUCCUUGUGAUUUACUAAAAUGUAGAUACUUCCUAAAGGGACAACAUAGUAAAUUUUAUCCAUUUCUUACUGUUACUUUAUAUCAUUUUGGACCAUUGUACUUUAUAAAUAAACAUAGACAAUUUUGGUCAGUUAUACCUUACUGUGAAUGAGAUUACCAGAUGUUUUCAUGACCACAGAUUCCACCAGAAGGUAUCAGUGGCAAGAAAUGGGUUGGUGGGAGUUCAAAAGCACAUAGUGAGCUAAUCUGUGUAAACGGGCUUUUGUGGGUUGAAUUGUGUCCUUCUCAAAAAGAUAUGUUUGGAGUUCCCAUUGCGGCUCAGCAGGUUAAGAACCCACCAAGCAUUCAUGAGGAUGCAGGUUUGAUUCCUGGCUUCGCUCAUUGCAUUGAAGGAUCUGGCAUUGCUUUGAGGUGUGGUAUAGGUCGCAGAUGCAGGUCAGAUCUGGCGUUGCUGUGGCUGUGGUGUAGGCCAGCACCUGCAACUCCAAUUCAACUUUUAGCCUGGGAACUUCCAUAUGCUGUGGGUGUGGCCCUAAAAAGAAAAAAAGUUAAAAUGAGACCCUUAGCACAGGCACUAAUCUGGUAUGUCUGGUGUUCCUGCUGAGCCACAAUGGGAACUCCCUGCUAUUCUUAUUAAAAGGGAAAAUUUGGAUACAGAGAGAGGCACACACACAGGGAGAACAAAGAUUUUUCUCUUCCCACUACGUCCCUAGAAUUAUGCCCUGGAGGUACCUUGGGCCCAGCUACCCCAGUUCUCUCCCAGACAUGCCUUCUGCUUCUGCUUCUGCUUCUUGCUGGCAGGGGAUGAGAACUCUGGGAUCUCAUUGCCUUACCCUCAGCUUGUGGGACUCACAUCCCCUGUGCUCUCUGGCAAGAUGUAUACCUCACAGACCAGACCACUGUCUCUGAAACCCUGAAGUCUGCUCACUGCUAGCUUCCUCACUGGCUCUCCUGGAUCCAGACCCUUCCUAGUCGCAGGAAACAGAAGAGUCUGACUCUAACAUUCUGUACACUAUCCGAGUCUUGAGUCUUUUCCAGGCAUUGGCUUUGACAUUUCAAAAGCUUAAUCUUUUGCCUUCAGUAGACUUUUCUCUUAAACUCUCCCCUGCUUACAGUUUUGAAGUCUCUUUUGAAAUGUAAAAAUAUCAGGAAUCAAUUCUGUGCUUUCUUUCAUUUUUUUUCCUUGAGCAAUAAAAGCGAAAUAAUUAGUAGCCUAAAGGGAAAGGGUAUGGGGAGGGGUAGAGAUAACAGGAAAGAAUAGAUAGGAAAGAGGGGGUAUCAGUUAAUGUUCAAAAUACUGUCCUGCCACAUAUGUUUAUUGUUCUUUUCUCACCACAACUUCACAGCGGAUUUGCUGAGAUCCCACUCUUUUUGAAGAAAACUACUCUGGACCAAUGGAAAUGGUUAAACCAUAGGAUUAUAUUACUUUUCGUUUGUGGGCACAUCCAGGUGGAAAUAAGAACUUGCAUUCUUAUCAGCAGAAGGAAAAUUUUUAGCAUAUAGGAAGAACUAUUGUCAGCAUCUGUGGAAAAAGCCUUAGCUUUACUCCCCCAUGGAAGAAAGCCAACGAAAGCCGCCCCAUGAAUUUAACUUGAUAGAUGUUGAUUCUCUGCCUGAAGAAGAGAACCAAGCUGGGAAAGCUGGACUGGAAAGUAGGAAGAGUUUGCUUCCAUAAGACCAAUGGUCUGUCUGUGACAGACAGUGGCUCAGUUUUGACAAGCAUGUAGAGAGUACACACAUUGGCCGAAUCCUGCAUUGGAGGUCAGAGAUAUAAAGAAUCCGUUAUUACGCCUGGGAAAAGUAAAUCUAAGUAGAUGUUCUCAUGUUUCCCCACUUCACGCUAGUACACUACCUCAGUGUGCUGUGCUAGGGGAGAAUCUGCCUGGACUGCGCACUGGAGGAGUUUAAGGUCUUGGAGCCUACGUCAGGUGGAACAUGCCCAACUUACUGGUCACCAUUAUAAUCUCACCAGGAUACCAUAUGGUCAGUACUGUAUUAUAGGUAAUCUAAUACUAGCUACAAGAAUUUUGUUGGAACCAGUGACUCCAAGCUCCUUCUAUAUAGCAAAUCUUCAACUAGGUUAGCUACUGCAGAACAAAACUGCUUUUGGUUUUAGCUGCUUGUUUUCCUCCUCUUUGGUCACAUGGCUUAUUAUUUCUAUUUUUAUAGUCAACACUUGGCUAAAUGGCAAGUACUUGCAGGGUGUCAUUUAUCAAAAUCUGUUUUAGUUUUAAUUAAUUAGUUAAUUUAGUCUUCUUUAUGCUAUGGAUUAAAAAAACUCUUUGUAUCAGAGAGAUGGUACUUAAUAUGUUUUAGCUUUUCGUCCAUAAUCCAGUUGAUAAGAGGUGUUUUUUUUUUUUACAUUUUAUUGAAGUAUAGUUGACUUACAGUGUUGUGAUAAUUUCUGCUGUACAACGAAGUGAGUCAGUUAUACACACAUCCAUUCUCUUUCAGAUUCUUUUUCCAUAUAGAUUAUCACAGAAUAUUAGGUAGAGUUCUCUGUUCUGUACAGCAGGUCCCCAUUCACCAAUCAUUCCACAUACUUCAGAAUAAGAGUUUUAAGAACUAUUGUAUUUUAUGUAGAUAAUUAUGUAAUUUGCUAUUUGCAUAUGUAAGGAAUCUUUGAAUAUUCAUGAGGAAUAAAGGCCCUGAAGUCAGAAAAGGUGGGAUCCAAAUCUUGGCUCCAACACAAGAUGGUUUAGAAAUAUGUAAGAAAAAAGGAUGUAUACAUGUAUGUAUGACUGGGUCACCCUGACUGUAGAAGAUUGGCAGAACACUGUAAAGCAGCUAUAAUGGAAAAAAUAAAAAUCUUU
rnacentral:lncRNA from 1 species